rnacentral:rRNA from 1 species
CCUACGGGAGGCAGCAGUGGGGAAUAUUGGACAAUGGGGGCAACCCUGAUCCAGCAAUGCCGCGUGUGUGAAGAAGGCCUUCGGGUUGUAAAGCACUUUCGGUGGGGACGAAAAUUGUCCGGCUAAUAUCCGGAUACUUGACGGUACCCAAAGAAGAAGCACCGGCUAACUCUGUGCCAGCAGCCGCGGUAAUACAGAGGGUGCAAGCGUUAAUCGGAAUUACUGGGCGUAAAGCGUGCGUAGGUGGUUCGCUAAGUCAGAUGUGAAAGCCCUGGGCUUAACCUAGGAACUGCAUUUGAUACUGGCAAGCUAGAGUUUGGUAGAGGGAAGUGGAAUUCCAGGUGUAGCGGUGAAAUGCGUAGAUAUCUGGAGGAACACCAAUGGCGAAGGCAGCUUCCUGGACUAAAACUGACACUGAGGCACGAAAGCGUGGGUAGCAAACAGGAUUAGAUACCCUGGUAGUCCACGCCGUAAACGAUGGGUACUAGACGUUAGGGAGUUUAAUCUCUCUAGUGUCGCAGCUAACGCAAUAAGUACCCCGCCUGGGGAGUACGGCCGCAAGGUUAAAACUCAAAGGAAUUGACGG